UCAUGUUAUGACCAGGUUGAAUUAAAAAUAUAAAUAGGAACGAAAACUUUUGCAUAACAUUUUACUCGGAGAUUGGCUGGAUUUAUUUGAGCGUGUACUUUUUGUUUAUGAUUAGUGGAAUGAAAAAAUGAAACUGAUGUUGUGGUGCAGGAAGUGUCCCUUCAUUAUACGGAUUCUGGGAGUGGGCAAGCGGCGGAUCAUAGGCUGCUGUGUUGUGAAGGAAGUUUAUGGUAAAACUGUUGACCGGAGACGGGAAUCCCCUCACAAAGAAUAACAAACUAGAGUUCCCUCUCUACACCACGGCAGGCUACUGACUGAUACUUCUGCCAGCAGCUGCAGUUCUCUUUAUUCAACAAUAGGUAUAUACAAUAAUCCAUAACAAACUUCCUUAAUCUAUACCAUAGAGCAACUACAACUAACCGGCGCCCGCUUCUUAUUCAUCUUCGAUCUACAGCGAAGCGUCGCACACUACCUGAUAUUCCAACAAAAACCACGUAAGACUGAAUAUCGUUCGGCAGCUAUUAUUGGCCUAUCUUACCAAUUAGAUACAAUAAUAACUGAUACAGGUUCACACAUAACCUGAUGUGUUAGAGAAAACGACUAACUUCGAUUCACCCACUCAAGAAAAAACAAGUCGUAUGUAAGUCCUAUAGGAGACAUCAAGCUCUCUUUUCUGGUGGCUGAAAUUACACCGUACUCAGCGAGUAUAGCGAGGUGCAUGAUCGGCGCAUUUGAUUUUAACGUCAAUGCAUCAGUGACUAAGUAAAAGCAAAGCGCCAAACAACAAUACUAACACAUUAACCCUUAAAUGCGCAAUGUUGUUUUAAAACAACAAACCGAAAAUAUGUUUAAUGUUAAUGAUUUCAAUGGUUUUUUACCUUGAAAAUAUUUUCGACGAUUUCUAAAAAAUCGCCUUGCGCCUUUAAGGGUUAGAUUUUGGAUUUAAUGAAAACUAAUUUAAAAUCGAACAAAAACUGGAUCAAAACAAAAUUUAAAUUGAAUUCAAAUGAAAUAUAAUUAAAGUAAAUUGGAAUUAAAUUCAAAUUAAAAUUAUUGUUGAAUCACAUUGAAUUGAAAUUAAAGUAAAAUUAAGUUCAAACUGAUUGAACAUUAACCCUAUACUAAAAUAAAAUUGAAUUGAAAUAAAUUGUAGGACAUAAAGUUGUAUUGUAUUU